GGCUCAGGAUGAACGCUAGCGGCAGGCUUAACACAUGCAAGUCGAGGGGCAGCGCGAGGUAGCAAUACUUGGCGGCGACCGGCGAAAGGGUGCGUAACGCGUGAGCAACUUGCCCGUAUCUGGGACAUAAGCGGUGGAAACGCCGUCUAAUUUCCCAUAACAACAGAGGCCGCAUGACCUUUGUUUGAAAGAUCCGUCGGAUACGGAUGGGCUCGCGAGACAUUAGCUAGUCGGCGUGGUAAUGGCACACCGAGGCGACGAUGUCUAGGGGUUCUGAGAGGAAGGUCCCCCACACUGGAGCUGAGACACGGUCCAGACUCCUACGGGAGGCAGCAGUGAGGAAUAUUGGUCAAUGGGCGAAAGCCUGAACCAGCCAUGCCGCGUGAAGGAAAUAAGGCCCUAUGGGUCGUAAACUUCUUUUGUGGUGGAGCAAUAAGGUGUACGCGUACACCGAUGAGAGUACAUCACGAAUAAGCAUCGGCUAACUCCGUGCCAGCCGCCGC
rnacentral:rRNA from 1 species